GACGAACGCUGGCGGCGUGCUUAACACAUGCGAGUCGAACGGAAAGGCCCUGCUUUUGUGGGGUGCUCGAGUGGCGAACGGGUGAGUAACACGUGAGUAACCUGCCCUUGACUUUGGGAUAACUUCAGGAAACUGGGGCUAAUACCGGAUAGGAGCUCCUGCUGCUGGUGGGGGUUGGAAAGUUUCGGCGGUUGGGGAUGGACUCGCGGCUUAUCAGCUUGUUGGUGGGGUAGUGGCUUACCAAGGCUUUGACGGGUAGCCGGCCUGAGAGGGUGACCGGCCACAUUGGAACUGAGAUACGGCCCAGACUCCUACGGGAGGCAGCAGUGGGGAAUAUUGCACAAUGGGCGGAAGCCUGAUGCAGCAACGCCGCGUGCGGGAUGACGGCCUUCGGGUUGUAAACCGCUUUCGCCUGUGACGAAGCGUGAGUGACGGUAAUGGGUAAAGAAGCACCGGCUAACUACGUG
rnacentral:rRNA from 1 species